rnacentral:lncRNA from 1 species
CGGCUGGAGUUAGGGUAGGUUACAGCAAAGCUGGCGACACGGAUCCCGAAACAUUACUGGCUUCGUGAUUGGUAGAUAGGUGGAGGGAGGUGCGUCAGCGGAAACAUAAAAUGACAACAUCAACAUCAGUUGAGGGCUGCAAGUCCACUUUUUAAAUGACAUUAUCCUGGCCGGACUACUGUUGUCAGUGAUAUAAGUAUUUGAAAUGAACAUGAUUUCUUAAUGUCUAGUGACACAUCAGGGCCAUUUUGUGAUUAACUGAAAUAGAUUUCUUACAUUCAGCUUCUUUAACUAAACUAAACUAGUCUGACAGAGGGAGGAACAGCGGGAUACUGAAGAUUAAAAGAUGCAUAAUUGAUAAGGUUUUUCUUUGAUUUUUUCAUUAAAACAACAUUUAUUACAUUUUGUCAUAAUUUUUGUUAUAAAAGAUUAAAACGUUGUUUGUUAUGGAAGUUAUUUGAGAGCAAAAACAAAAGUCUGGGUCUCGCUGUAUCGCUCAGGCUGCACUGCAGUGUCUAUUCACAGGAGCGAUCCCACUACUGAUCGACACGGGGGCUUUGACCUGCUCCGUCUCCGAUCUGGGGCUUUGACCUGCUCCGUCUCCGACCUGGGCCGGUUCACCCCUCCUUAGAAGACCUGGUGGUCCCAAGCUCCCCCAGGAGCACCAUAUCGAUACCGAACUUAGUGUGGACACCUGAUCAACAUAGUCCACUGCAGCCCAGAACCCCUGAACUCAAGCGAUCCACCAGCCUCAGUCUCCCAGCAGCUUGGAUUACAGGCGCGCGCCACUGCACCCGACGAGAGCUGCAGCAUCAGCGCUGAUACUCAAUCUAGAGAUCACUGACACCUCGAGUACAGCACAGCAGAACAAUAGACUGACAUUAGCCGUGGAGCAGAGAACUAAUUACAGUUUAAACAUCUCCAAACAAAUUAGCAGAAAUCGAGUUUUUCACUUUUUAAUUUAAAACAUUCAAUCCUUUACUUCAUCAC